UCAGCAGUCAUUUUUUUAGUAGCAGCCAAAAAAGUUAAUGCAGGCUUGGGUUCCAUCAGGAGAUGAAUAGCUUCCAGGAAUACAGAGAUAAUAAUCCUUGUGUACUCUGCCCUGGUCAGACCAUUUCUGGAGUAUUGUUUUUAGCUCAAAUUGCCUCAUUUUAAGGACAAUGAUUAGCUGAAGAGCUUUCAGAAAAAAGUACCUAGGAUAGUAAAGGGUCAUGACUCUUGAGGAUCCAUUUAAGGAACUGAGGAUCUAUACACUAGAAGAGAGAAACUCAAGGGAACAUGAAAACUGUCUUAAAAUAUUUAAAAGGUUGUCAUGUAAAGGAAGAAUUAGACUUGAACUGUUUGAUCCCAGAGGGAGAACUAGUGACAACAGAUAACAGUUGCAAAGAGGCAUAUUUCGGCUUCAUGUCAGUAUAAAAAAACAAUUUGAGCAGUGCAAAAGUGAUUGGGUUCUCCUUCAUUGGAGGUCUUCUGCCAGAAGUUGGAUGCCUACUUAUCAAGUAUGUUAUAGUAAGGAUUCUUUUCAGUAUGUGAUGGACUAAAUGGUUAUUGAUUUCUUUUCCAACUCUGCAGUUUCAUGAUUCUGCCAUUCUGGGCCCACGACAGAGUCCUGGAGUAUAUCCACACAUGGGGAUCAGGACAUGGAUAAUGAUCCUGCCAACAGCAAUAAGAGAAUUAGUCAGAGAAGUACAAAGAGAACUGUGACAGGACAGUGAAAACAAAAAUCUAACAAGAAAGAUUGAUGAAUAGUGUCAAAUGCUGCAAAGAGGUCAAGAAGGACAACUGAAAAACAACCAUUCAAUUUUGGAGUUAAGAGAUCACUGUUAAAUUUGAAGGAGGAAGCAAUGGCAGUUAAGUACUUGAAAUGGAAUCCCAACUGAAAGGGAUUGAGAAGUUAGUGGAAAGUAAGAAAACUGGAGAAAAUUUCUAGGAAUGUGGCUACAAAAGGGAGGAAAGAUACAGGACAAUAGCUUAAAAGGAAGCUGGCACAGUGGAUAAAGAAUACCAAGUCAAGAAGACCUGAUCCCAAUUCCAGCUUUAGACAGAAACCUAGAGCAAUGAACACAUUUGACAGAGCUCAGGAGGUUCUCCAGCAUGUCCCAGAAAGACAGCACAUUUCCUGUUUCCUGUCAGGCUGGCAUAUGUUCUUGUCAAGUCAGCAUAUGGCACUUCAGUGCCCCUCAGCAGAGGGGAGUCACCAACCAGCAGAAAUCAGCUCUUCUCCCUGAGAAAUCCUGUCUCAGUGUGUGAUGCCUUGAGAUUUUUUUGUUUAUGUUGGAACAAAGGAGAGCAAGUGGAGGACCAGUUUUAAAUAGAGGUGGCUAUAACUGCAAUGCCAGUUGAUAGUCUUGUUCAAAUUCUCUGGAAUUUCAAUGUAUGGAAAGGAAACCAUCUGAAAUAGGAAUUAAAACAGAUUUUCACAGUUCUGUACAGCAUUUGUAUGAGACUGACAUGUAAAAGUGCUCUGUAAACCUUAAAGCAUUCUAUUAUGUCAAUUGUUAUCACAUUGAUGCUGUGUCAUUUGCUGUUCUCAGUCAACAAGUGCUGAUUGCUUACUAUGUGUCAGGCAUCCUACCAAGUUAAGUACUUAAAAUACAAAUAUAUGAAGAAAGACCAAAAAGAAAGUCCUCCCUUCAAGAAGCUCAUAUUUUAAUGUGUAAGACCAAUAUGAAAAUACCUACGGAUAUACAAAAUAUAUUCAUAUAGAGUAGAUGAAAGAUAGUAUGGAAGAGGAAAGCACUAGCAUCUGGGGGGACUAGCAAGGGCCCCCUGCAGAGGAUAGGAUUUGAGCCAGGUUUUAUAGAAAAUAAGAAGCUGAAAUGAGACAGACAAAAUAUUUCAAGUGCAGGGAACAGCCAGUUCAAAGGACAUGGAAUGUUGUGUGUGAAGAAUCACAAGUAGCCCAGUAUGGCUGGAUUGUAGAAGACUGGAAAGUAGGAAGGAAAAGCCUCUAAAAGAAAUUUGUUAUGAUUAUUACAGAAUAGGACAAAACUACUUGCCAGAGAUUUCAUCUCACCUGUGAUCAAUAAAGCAUUUGCCAAGGUAUCAAUUCUAUCAAUUAUUAUAGAAAGAUACGCUGAGUAAGAUAUUUCCUUAAUGGAACUUCAGAUUCCAUUGGCUUACCUGGGAGCUGUCAUUGGGAAAUCAAACUUGAGUUUUUCACCUUUGCCAAAAUAAUUCAAUAUAAUUUCCUUCUUUA